UAGGGAAUCUUGCGCAAUGGGCGAAAGCCUGACGCAGCAACGCCGCGUGGGGGACGAAUGCUUUCUGAGUUGUAAACCCCUUUCAGCAGGGACGAUUGUGACGGUACCUGCAGAAGAAGCACCGGCCAACUACGUGCCAGCAGCCGCGGUGAUACGUAGGGUGCAAGCGUUGUCCGGAUUUAUUGGGCGUAAAGAGCUCGUAGGCGGUUUGGUAAGUCGGGUGUGAAAUCCCCAGGCUCAACCUGGGGCUGCCAUCCGAUACUGCCAUGACUUGAGUCCGGUAGGGGACCAUGGAAUUCCUGGUGUAGCGGUGAAAUGCGCAGAUAUCAGGAGGAACACCAGUAGCGAAGGCGGUGGUCUGGGCCGGUACUGACGCUGAGGAGCGAAAGCGUGGGGAGCGAACAGGAUUAGAUACCCCCGUAGUCC
rnacentral:rRNA from 1 species